CUGCAUAUCUCAAUGAAGAUUCUAAUUACCUUGUAACCGGUGGUUUCAGUUGUGGUUUAGAUAAAAGGAAAACUGCUGGUUUUGGUUAUGGUUUCGGUUUUAGAUAUGGCUUUGGGUUUUACAUUCUACCAAUUACCGCACCGAAUAGUAUGGUUGCCAUCCCUACCCACUGUUUGAAAACCAAAACAAGUAUCAUUUUUCCAGCAACUAAAUUUUGCUUUCUCCGAAUAAAACUCAUCAUUAGGUUGUGUUCCAACGUAAGCCCCGUAGCCUUCAUAUGUAUGGGCAUCUUACAAAAUGAGGCAUAACCUGCCAUAGGAGAUUAGUGUGGGCAUUAGACUACUGCUCAGCUGGAAUCAGAUAGCAUAAUAUCCAACAUGCAGAACCUACUUAAGCCUACAUAGUCAUAGUUACAACAAAUUCAGCAACAUAAUAAAUGCCAUUUUUUGGAUGUGCAGGGCCCUUAGGGCCUCAGCUAAGUCCCCAGUGGCCCCAAACAAAUGCAGCCACUCUUCGAAGUAGGGGAAGGGCUUGUUCAUGCUUUUGCAUCAAUAUAACUCUACACAAAGUUGGAAACAAACUGUGCAUUAACUAAAAAUGGUUAGUAUGCACAAUAACAAAAACUUAAUGUAUGGUGAUGAAUUUUACCCUCACAAAGUUCUCCCACACAUCAUCACUAUCCACCGGUAUCAUCUUUCCAUUUUCAUCCCACCCAAAACCACUUAGCUAUAGUGCCUCUUGCAGCAUGUGGUAUUGCUUCAUCCACAUUUCGAUUUUGGACUCAAUGUGAGGGUUUACCCUCGAGUCAGUCCCAAGGAAACCCAGGCUUGAGCUGUCCCAAAUUGAGCUUCCGGUUUGUGUUUUUUGUUCACCAAGUCCGUCAUACAUGUAUCCCAUGAGGAACUCCUCCUCCCUUUUUGACCAAAACUUGUGAGGUUGUUUGCCACUCCUUUUACUCAUACCUAUUUUCCACACUUUAGAGAACAAGAUGCUUAAUUACUAACAAGAAAAGAAAACCAAAAUGCAAUACUGAAAUUGCAGAACAUGGGAAAAAGAAGAAGUUAUUAUCAUAGCGUUACAAUUAUACCCACUUACAGGUGUCAAAUUUCAUAGAGGUAGGCAUCCAAAUUUGAUGAUCAGCACAUUAAAAAAAGCUAGCUAGUCAACUAAAAACCCACCCCAAUUAGUUAUAUUUACUGUGUCAAA